UACGAAGGGUGCAAGCGUUACUCGGAAUUACUGGGCGUAAAGCGUGCGUAGGCGGUUUGUUAAGUCUGUCGUGAAAGCCCUGGGCUCAACCUGGGAAUUGCGAUGGAUACUGGCAAGCUAGAGUACGGUAGAGGAUGGUGGAAUUCCCGGUGUAGCGGUGAAAUGCGUAGAGAUCGGGAGGAACACCCGUGGCGAAGGCGGCCAUCUGGACCAGUACUGACGCUGAGGCACGAAAGCCAGGGGAGCGAACGGG
rnacentral:rRNA from 1 species